UAGUGUUACAGCUCUUGUAGAAUUUGUUUAGCCGAUUUUCUAGUUUUUAAUGGAACCCU
ensembl:snRNA U7 U7 small nuclear RNA